GACGAACGCUGGCGGCGUGCUUAACACAUGCAAGUCGAACGGAAAGGCCCUGCUUUUGUGGGGUGCUCGAGUGGCGAACGGGUGAGUAACACGUGAGUAACCUGCCCUUGACUUUGGGAUAACUUCAGGAAACUGGGGCUAAUACCGGAUAGGAGCUCCUGCUGCAUGGUGGGGGUUGGAAAGUUUCGGCGGUUGGGGAUGGACUCGCGGCUUAUCAGCUUGUUGGUGGGGUAGUGGCUUACCAAGGCUUUGACGGGUAGCCGGCCUGAGAGGGUGACCGGCCAAGUGGGGACUGGGUGAGGGCCGAACCCCCGAGGGGUGGCAGGGGGGGGGAAUGUGCCACAAGGGGCGGAGGCGUGAGGCGGAAGCGCCGCGUGCGGGUUGGGGGCCUUGGGGUUGUAAACCUCUUGCGCGGGUGACGAAGGGGGGGGGAGGGAAAGGGGUAAAGAAGCGCGGGCAAACUCGGG
rnacentral:rRNA from 1 species